AUUGAACGCUGGCGGCAGGCCUAACACAUGCAAGUCGAACGAGUGGCGGACGGGUGAGUAAUGUCUGGGAAACUGCCCGCUGGCGGGGGAUAACUACUGGAAACGGUCGCUUAUACCGCCUACCCCUGGAUGUGUACAGAUGGGAUUAGCGAGUGGGUGGGGUAAUGCCCGACCUAGGCCACGUUACCUACCUGGUCUGAGAGGAUGACCAGCCAAACUGGAACGAGGACACGGUCCAGAUUCCUACGGAAGGCGGCAGUGGGGAAGAUUGGACAAGGGGCGAAAGCCGGAUGCGCAAAUGCCGCGGGUGGGAAGAAGGCCUUGGGUUGGUAAAGCACUUUAAGCGGGGAGGCGGUACCCGCAGAAGAAGCACCGGCUAACUCCGUGCCAGCAGCCGCGGUAAUUC
rnacentral:rRNA from 1 species